UCAGACGAUGCGUCAUGCAUAUCAAUAAGCGGAGGAAAAGAAACUAACAAGGAUUCCCUUAGUAACGGCGAGUGAAGCGGGAAGAGCUCAAAUUUGAAAUCUUCAAGGUUUUACCUUGACGAAUUGUAGUUUAAAGAAGUGUUUUCUGCUGAAGUUUUGGUAAAAGUUCUUUGGAAUAGGACAUCAUAGAGGGUGAGAAUCCCGUAUUUGACCAUUAUUUUCAGCUUUGUGAUACACUUUCAAAGAGUCGGAUUGUUUGGGAAUGCAGUCCAAAAUGGGUGGUAAAUUUCAUCUAAAGCUAAAUAUUGGCGAGAGACCGAUAGCUAACAAGUACCGUGAGGGAAAGAUGAAAAGAACUUUGAAAAGAGAGUUAAACAGUACGUGAAAUUGUCAAAAGGGAAGCGUUUGACACCAGUGUUGUUUUCUCGAAAAUCAAUUAAAAAUGGCUCGAUUUUGUAUUGCUUGAGACCUUAAAAGCUCACUGUACAUUUUUCGUGUCUUUUUUAAUGCACUUUUCGUUUAACAAGUCAACAUCAGUUUCUUUUGUUGUAAAAGGGUCAUUGGAAGGUGGCUUUCUUUUCGGAGAAAGUGUUUAUAGCCUUUGGCCUCUGCAAUCGGAGAGACUGAGGUCUGCAGCGUAGACUCUUCGGGGUUAGAUACAUUUGUGCUAAGUUAUAGCUUUUUAUAGACAACUUGUUGACUAUAAUUAGUCCUUGUAGCUUACUCGCUUAUGCUAUUUUACCUACGCUUAGGAUGUUGACUGAUAUGUAGUCGUA
rnacentral:rRNA from 1 species